rnacentral:rRNA from 1 species
UUGAACGCUGGCGGCACGCCUAACACAUGCAAGUCGAGCGGCAGCGCGAUCAGUAGCAAUACUGAUUGGCGGCGAGCGGCGGACGGGUGAGGAACACGUAGGAAUCUACCCUCAAGCGGGGGACAACCAAGGGAAACUUUGGCCAAUACCGCAUACACUCGAAAGAGAAAAGUUGCUCGCAAGGGUGACACUUGAGGAGGAGCCUGCGUCCGAUUAGCUAGUUGGUGAGGUAAUAGCUCACCAAGGCAGUGAUCGGUAACUGGUCUGAGAGGACGACCAGUCACACUGGGACUGAGACACGGCCCAGACUCCUACGGGAGGCAGCAGUGGGGAAUAUUGGACAAUGGGGGCAACCCUGAUCCAGCGAUGCCGCGUGAGUGAAGAAGGCCUUCGGGUCGUAAAGCUCUUUAGUUUGGGAAGAAGAUUACAGGAGGAAAUGCUUGUAAUUUGACGGUACCGAAAGAAUAAGCACCGGCAAACUCUGUGCCAGCAGCCGCGGUAAUACAGAGGGUGCAAGCGUUAAUCGGAGUUACUGGGCGUAAAGGGCGCGUAGGCGGUGAUAUGAGUGUGAUGUGAAAGCCCCGGGCUUAACCUGGGAAGUGCAUCGCAAACGAUAUGACUAGAGUAUAUGAGAGGGUGGCGGAAUUUCCGGUGUAGCGGUGAAAUGCGUAGAGAUCGGAAGGAACGUCAAUGGCGAAGGCAGCCACCUGGCAUGAUACUGACGCUGAGGCGCGAGAGCGUGGGGAGCGAACAGGAUUAGAUACCCUGGUAGUCCACGCUGUAAACGAUGAGAACUAGAUGUUGGUUGGGGAACCAAUCGGUAUCGAAGCUAACGCGAUAAGUUUUCCGCCUGGGAAGUACGGCCGCAAGGUUGAAACUCAAAUGAAUUGACGGGGGCCCGCACAAGCGGUGGAGCAUGUGGUUUAAUUCGAUGCAACGCGAAGAACCUUACCUACCUUGACAUCUAGCGAACCUCCUGAAGAGAUUUGGAAGUGCCGUAAGGAACGCCGUAGACAGGUGCUGCAUGGCUUGUCGUCAGCUCGUGUCGUGAGAUGUUGGGUUAAGUCCCGCUAACGAGCGCAACCCUUGUUCUUAGUUGCCAGUCAUAAGAUGCGGACCUCUAAGCCAGACUGCCGGUGACUGAACCGGAGGAAGGGGGGACGACGUCAAGUCAUCACUGGCCCUUUAUGGGUCAGGGCUACACACGUGCUUACAAUGGGAGCGUACAGAUGGGUCGCCACCAGGUCUGGGAGCAAUCUUAAAAGCGCUCCUCGUAGUCGGAUCGGAGUCUGCAAUUCGACUCCAUGAAGUCGGAAUCGCUAGUAAUCGCGAAUCAGCACUGUCGCGGUGAAUACGUUCCCGGGCCUUGUACACACCGCCCGUCACGUCAUGGAAGUGGAUGGUACCAGAAGCGGGUAGUUUAACCCUGAGGUAACUCAGGGAUGACGCCUGCCACGGUAUGAUUCAUGACUGGGACG